AGGCCUUGUGGUGUCAUAACACAGUAGAUUGCAAACCUAAAGAUGUGGACUUAUUAUCCGCCCGGGCUUU
rnacentral:tRNA from 1 species